rnacentral:lncRNA from 1 species
CCGGCCCCGCCCCGCGCGGGCCCCAUUGUCCGCGGCACCUGCCCGGCCCCGCCCCGCCCCGCCCGCCCCUUUGGCUCCCGCCCGGGACGCGGCCACCGCCCCCCGCCGAGCCCCCGCUGCGCCCCCGCCGAGCCCCCGCCACCCCGCUCCCAACUUCGCCUGGGCUCGCUUCUUCCUUUCGGCACCCGCAGACUCGGCAGCGAUGACUUUGAGAACGCUCCAGCUCUCAGUCAGCACCGGAGGCGAGAACCAGGAGACUUGAGCCUUCUGCUUACUUCUCCAUCAGCAUUUAUUUCCUAAUGGAGUUCAAGAGGACUACAGCAAGAGCAACUGAAGAAGCCCUGCUUCGAAGCCUCAUGGGCGACUCUCAUCUAGGAUACAGGGAGGUGGAUGCAAAUCACUGACAACAAACUGAAUGGAGCCCCAGGCAUCAGCAUGCUGAGCUGCUGGAUAACACAGGGCCAACACAGCACUGCCUGAAUUUCACCCUCCAUUUCUUUCAUUUUUCUUUCCAAUACCUAAAAAUAAGACAUUGAAGUGCCAAUCAAAUGGAAUGUCUUGUUCAGCAUGGAAUAAUGUUCUAGGGCCUCUAGUGCCAACAAGAAAACCUCCAAAAGAAUUAUUUGAUAUGUAAAACCAACACCAAAAAGCUGCUCGUUUGCGUGCGAAACAUCCACCAGCUGGUAGUAAGGAGUGGUGCUUGCUCCUUGACAUAUGGCCAUUAAUAAACAGCAUUAUAGCAUGUUAUCUACCUGUCCU